rnacentral:rRNA from 1 species
ACAUCGGAUCGAUGGCUGAGUUUGAUUAUGGCUCAGAUUGAACGCUGGCGGGAUACUUUACAUGCAAAGUCGAACGGCACGGACUUCGGUCUGGUGGCAGUAGCGAGCGGUGAGUAAUGUAUCGGAACGUGCCUAGUAGCGGGGGAUAACUACGCGAAAGCGCAGCUAAUACCGCAUACGCCCUUCGGGGGAAAGCGGGGGACCUUCGGGCCUCGCACUAUUAGAGCAGCCGAUAUCAGCAGUUUAGCUAGUUGGUGGGGUAACGGCUCACCGGGGCGACGAUCCGUAGCUGGUUUGGGGAGACGACCAGCCACACUGGGGACUGGGAACCACGGCCCAGACUCCUACGAGGGGGCAGCGGUGGGGGUACACGGACAAUGCGGGGAAACCUGAUCCAGCCAUCCCGCGCGUGUGCGAUGAGCCUUCGGGUUGUAAAGCACUUUUUGGCAGAAGAAACGGCACGGGAUAGCCCCGUGCAACUGACGGUAGUUACCUGCAGAAUAAGCACCGGCUAACUACGUGCCAGCAGCCUAGCGGUAAUACGUAGGGUGCAAGCGUUAAUCGGAAUUACUGGGCGUAAAGCGUGCGCAGGCGGUUCGGAAAGAAAAGAUGUGAAAUCCCAGAGCUUAACUUUGGAACUGCAUUUUUAACUACCGAGCGUAAAUUGUGUCAGAGGGGGUGGAAUUCCGCGUGUAGCAGUGGAAUGCGUAGAUAUGCGGGAGGAACACCGAUGGCGAAGGCAGCCUCCUGGGAUAACACUGACGCUCAUGCACGGCGUGGGAGCAAGCAGGAUUGAAAUACCUGGUAGUCCACGCCCUAAACGAUGUCAACUAGCUGUUGGGGCCUUCGGGCCUUGGUAGCGCAGCUAACGCGUGAAGUUGUUUCACCUGGGAGAGUACGGUCGCAAGAUUAAAACUCAAAGGUAAUAUGGGACCCGCACAAGCGGUGGAUGAUGUGGAUUAAUUCGAUGCAACGCGAAAAACCUUACCUACGCCGACAUGUCUGAUCGAAGAGAUUUGGGAGUGCUCGCAAGAGAACCGGAACACAGGUGCUGCAUGGCUGUCGUCAGCUCGUGUCGUGAGAUGUUGGGUUAAGUCCCGCAACGAGCGCAACCCUUGUCAUUAGAUUUGCUACGAAAGGGCACUCUAAUGAGGCUGCCGGUGACAAACCGGAGGAAGGUGUGGAUGACGUCAGGGCUCAUGUGCCCUUAUGGGUAGGGCUUCCCCACGUCAUACAAUGGUCGGGACAGAGGGUCGCCAACCCGCGAGGGGGAGCCAAUCCCAGAAGGCGAUCGUAGUCCGGAUGCAGUCUACCCAACUCGGCGCGUGAAGUCGGAAUCGCUAGUAAUCACCGGAUCAGCAUGUCGCGGUGAAUACGAUUCCCGGGUCUUGUACACACCACCCGUCACACCAUAGGAAUUAGGUUUUACCUGAUAGUUAGCCUAACCGUAAGGAGGGCGAUUACCACGGUAAGUUCAUGACUGGGGUGAAGUCGUGAGUA